rnacentral:rRNA from 1 species
AGCAGCCGCGGGAACACCGGCGGCCCGAGUGGUGAUCGUGAUUAUUGGGUCUAAAGGGUCCGUAGCCGGUUUGGUCAGUCCUCCGGGAAAUCUGAUAGCUCAACUAUUAGGCGUUUCGGGGGAUACUGCCAGACUUGGAACCGGGAGAGGUAAGAGGUACUACAGGGGUAGGAGUGAAAUCUUGUAAUCCCUGUGGGACCACCUGUGGCGAAGGCGUCUUACCAGAACGGGUUCGACGGUGAGGGACGAAAGCUGGGGGCACGAACCGGAUUAGAUACCCGGGUAGUCCCAGCCGUAAACGAUGCUCGCUAGGUGUCAGGCAUGGCGCGACCGUGUCUGGUGCCGCAGGGAAGCCGUGAAGCGAGCCACCUGGGAAGUACGGCCGCAAGGCUGAAACUUAAAGGAAUUGGCGGGGGAGCACAACAACGGGUGGAGCCCUGCGGUUUAAUUGGACUCAACGCCGGACAACUCACCGGGGGCGACAGCAAUAUGUAGGCCAAGCUGAAGACUUUGCCUGAAUCGCUGAGAAGAGGUGCAUGG